rnacentral:lncRNA from 1 species
GCAGUAGUAGGUGUGUAUAUGCUCCUAUUAGCGGUCCUCUUCUUUUAUGGUAAGUAACGAACAUAGUACCAAAGCAUCACUACAAUUUUCUUGUCUUGAUGGAUUUCUGUCAACACAGGUACUGAAGCUAAGUGUAGUCAACACUACUACACACUACCUGGUCCUUGUGAUGGUAUAACAUGUAUGAACUUUUGCAUACCACUGAAGUAUCAAAAUGGGACAUGCGGUUUUACUGGAAUACGUCCUGGUGAUGUAGUUUGCUAUUGCUAUAAUUGUGGGGAAGAGACUUCUGUUGAUCAACUAGCGUUACCGCUAUUAGGGGACCCAAGUAGAGCAUACACAUGCAAAAAAAAAAAUCAUUUUUGAGCCCUUGCUCAGAUGCACCUUAUAUCCCAACCUUUUGUUCACAUCGAGAUUUGAGUGUUUCCAAUAUUUCUUACCGUAUUUCUCUCACGUAUGCUCUCAGUAUUG